CAUAGGGGAUAAGUAUUUAUUUCUAUUAUGGCCACUAGGUGGAGCUGAGGAGCAUAGGGGAUAAGUACUUAUUUCUAUUAUGGCCAGUAGGUGGCGCUGAGGAGCAUAGGGGAGAAGUAUGUAUUUCUAUUGUGGCCACUAGGUGGAGCUGAGGAGCAUAGGGUAUAAGUACUUAUUUCUAUUAUGGCCAGUAGGUGGCGCUGAGGAGCAUAGGGGAGAAGUAUGUAUUUCUAUUAUGGCCACUAGGUGGAGCUGAGGAGCAUAGGGGAUAAGUACUUAUUUCUAUUAUGGCCAGUAGGUGGCGCUGAGGAGCAUAGGGGAGAAGUAUGUAUUUCUAUUGUGGCCACUAGGUGGAGCUGAGGAGCAUAGG